rnacentral:rRNA from 1 species
GGCGAACGGGUGAGUAAUAUAUCGGAACGUGUCCAAUAAUGGGGGAUAACGAGUCGAAAGAUUCGCUAAUACCGCAUACGCCCUACGGGGGAAAGCAGGGGAUCGUAAGACCUUGCGUUAAUGGAGCGGCCGAUAUCUGAUUAGCUAGUUGGUGAGGUAAAGGCUCACCAAGGCGACGAUCAGUAGCUGGUUUGAGAGAACGACCAGCCACACUGGAACUGAGACACGGUCCAGACUCCUACGGGAGGCAGCAGUGGGGAAUUUUGGACAAUGGGGGCAACCCUGAUCCAGCCAUUCCGCGUGAGUGAAGAAGGCCUUCGGGUUGUAAAGCUCUUUCGCAAGGGAAGAAAACUUAUGAUCGAAUAAAUCAUGAGGUUGACGGUACCUUGAUAAGAAGCACCGGCUAACUACGUGCCAGCAGCCGCGGUAAUACGUAGGGUGCGAGCGUUAAUCGGAAUUACUGGGCGUAAAGCGUGCGCAGGCGGUUUUGUAAGUCGGAUGUGAAAUCCCCGGGCUCAACCUGGGAACUGCGUUCGAAACUGCAAGGCUAGAGUGUGUCAGAGGGGGGUAGAAUUCCACGUGUAGCAGUGAAAUGCGUAGAGAUGUGGAGGAAUACCAAUGGCGAAGGCAGCCCCCUGGGAUAACACUGACGCUCAUGCACGAAAGCGUGGGGAGCAAACAGGAUUAGAUACCCUGGUAGUCCACGCCCU